GAUAGCCUACGGGAGGCAGCAGUGAGGAAUAUUGGUCAAUGGGAGAGAUCCUGAACCAGCCAAGCCGCGUGAGGGAAGACGGCCCUAUGGGUUGUAAACCUCUUUUGUCGGAGAACAAAACCCGGGACGUGUCCCGGACUGCGUGUAUCCGAAGAAAAAGCAUCGGCUAACCCCGUGCCAGCAGCCGCGGUAAUACGGAGGAUGCGAGCGUUAUCCGGCUUGAUUGGGUUUAAAGGGUGCGUAGGCGGCCCGUUAAGUCAGCGGUAAAAUUGCGGGGCUCAACCCCGUCGAGCCGUUGAAACUGG
rnacentral:rRNA from 1 species